rnacentral:rRNA from 1 species
UCGAACGGAAAGGCCCUUCGGGGUACUCGAGUGGCGAACGGGUGAGUAACACGUGGGUGAUCUGCCCUGCACUUUGGGAUAAGCCUGGGAAACUGGGUCUAAUACCGAAUAGGACCGCAUGCUUCAUGGUGUGUGGUGGAAAGCUUUUGCGGUGUGGGAUGGGCCCGCGGCCUAUCAGCUUGUUGGUGAGGUAAUGGCUUACCAAGGCGACGACGGGUAGCCGGCCUGAGAGGGUGACCGGCCACACUGGGACUGAGAUACGGCCCAGACUCCUACGGGAGGCAGCAGUGGGGAAUAUUGCACAAUGGGCGCAAGCCUGAUGCAGCGACGCCGCGUGAGGGAUGACGGCCUUCGGGUUGUAAACCUCUUUCGCCAGGGACGAAGCGCAAGUGACGGUACCUGGAGAAGAAGGACCGGCCAACUACGUGCCAGCAGCCGCGGUAAUACGUAGGGUCCGAGCGUUGUCCGGAAUUACUGGGCGUAAAGAGCUCGUAGGUGGUUUGUCGCGUUGUUCGUGAAAACUCACAGCUUAACUGUGGGCGUGCGGGCGAUACGGGCAGACUUGAGUACUGCAGGGGAGACUGGAAUUCCUGGUGUAGCGGUGGAAUGCGCAGAUAUCAGGAGGAACACCGGUGGCGAAGGCGGGUCUCUGGGCAGUAACUGACGCUGAGGAGCGAAAGCGUGGGGAGCGAACAGGAUUAGAUA